rnacentral:rRNA from 1 species
CCUACGGGAGGCAGCAGUCGGGAAUUUUGGGCAAUGGGCGAAAGCCUGACCCAGCAACGCCGCGUGAAGGAUGAAGCUUUUCGGAGUGUAAACUUCACAAGAAUGGGAAGAAUAAGUGGGGGAUAAUACCCCCCAUGAUGACGGUACCAUUUGUAAGCUCCGGCUAACUCCGUGCCAGCAGCCGCGGUAAUACGGGGGGAGCAAGCGUUGUUCGGAUUUACUGGGCGUAAAGGGCGCGUAGGCGGCGCAACAAGUCACUUGUGAAAUCUCCGGGCUUAACUCGGAGCGGCCAAGUGAUACUGUCGUGCUAGAGUGCGGAAGGGGCUACUGGAAUUCUCGGUGUAGCGGUGAAAUGCGUAGAUAUCGAGAGGAACACCUGCGGCGAAGGCGGGUAGCUGGGCCGACACUGACGCUGAGGCGCGAAAGCCAGGGGAGCGAACGGGAUUAGAUACCCCGGUAGUCCUGGCCUUAAACGAUGGAUACUUGGUGUCCGGGGUUACAUAGUCCCCGGGUGCCGGCGCUAACGCAUUAAGUAUCCCGCCUGGGGAGUACGGUCGCAAGACAGAAACUCAAAGGAAUUGACGGGGACCCGCACAAGCGGUGGAGCAUGUGGUUUAAUUCGACGCAACGCGAAGAACCUUACCUGGGCUAGAAUGCCUCCGACAACCCUAGAGAUAGGGCCUUCCGGGUAAAACCGGACGGAGUGCAAGGUGCUGCAUGGCUGUCGUCAGCUCGUGUCGUGAGAUGUUGGGUUAAGUCCCGCAACGAGCGCAACCCUUGUCAGUAGUUGCCAGCAGGUCAAGCUGGGCACUCUACUGAGACUGCCGUUGAUAAAACGGAGGAAGUGGGGAUGACGUCAGUCCUCAUGGCCUUUAUGUCAGGGCUACACACGUGCUACAUGGCAGGUACAACCGCUGCAAACUCGCAAGAGGAGCCAAUCGGAAAAGCCUGUCCCAGUUCGGAUUGAGUCUGCACUCGACUCAUGAAGCUGGAAUCGCUAGUAAUCGCGGAUCAGCAUGCCGCGGUGAAUCCCUUCCCGGG